UACGAAGGGUGCAAGCGUUGUUCGGAAUUAUUGGGCGUAAAGGGUUCGUAGGCGGGUUGUCGAGUCUCAUGUAAAAUAGUAGAGCUUAACUUUACUGCCGCAUGAGAGACAGAUGAUCUUGAGUUUAGGAGAGGGUAAUGGAAUUGCUGGUGUAGGAGUGACAUCCGUAGAGAUCAGCAGGAACAUCAGAGGCGAAGGCGAUUACCUGGCCAUAGACUGACGCUGAGGAACGAGAGCGUGGGGAGCAAACAGG
rnacentral:rRNA from 1 species